UGGCGGACGGGUGAGUAACGCGUGGGAAUCUACCCAAUAGUGGAGGACAGCCAGGAGAAAUCCUGAUUAAUACUGCAUACGAUCUACGGAUGAAAGGUGGCCUCUGUUUACAUGCUAUCGCUAUUGGAUGAGCCCGCGUUAGAUUAGCUAGUUGGUGGGGUAAGAGCCUACCAAGGCGACGAUCUAUAGCUGGUCUGAGAGGACGACCAGCCACAUCGGGACUGAGACACGGCCCGGACUCCUACGGGAGGCAGCAGUGGGGAAUAUUGGACAAUGGGCGCAAGCCUGAUCCAGCAAUGCCGCGUGUGUGAAGAAGGCCCUAGGGUUGUAAAGCACUUUCAAUUGUGAAGAAGGGUAUAAGAUUAAUACUCUUGUAUCUUGACGUUAACUUUAGAAGAAGCACCGGCUAACUCUGUGCCAGCAGCCGCGGUAAUACAGAGGGUGCGAGCGUUAAUCGGAAUUACUGGGCGUAAAGCGCGCGUAGGCGGUUAGAUAAGUCAGAUGUGAAAUCCCCGGGCUCAACCUGGGAACUGCACCUGAUACUGUUUAACUAGAGUUUGGGAGAGGGAAGUAGAAUUUCAGGUGUAGCGGUGAAAUGCAUAGAGAUCUGAAGGAAUACCAGUGGCGAAGGCGACUUCCUGGCCUAAAACUGACGCUGAGGUGCGAAAGCGUGGGUAGCAAACGGGAUUAGAUACCCCGGUAGUCCACGCCGUAAACGAUG
rnacentral:rRNA from 1 species